CUUGGCCUCGCUGCGAUCGAUAGAGCUCGAAAGUGGCGAAUGUCAUGCAUCACCUGGCUCCGCACGGGCGAUGCCAAGACGGUGUUUUUUCAGGCAAAGAUCAAUUCCAGGUGCUAGAAGAACUUCAUCCACGCCCUCCACACCCGUGACUCCAUUGCCACCUCCCACAACGACAAGGAGCGGAUCAUACAUGAGCACUUCAACUCCAUGCUGGCGACGAUGACGCCUCGCAGCUGCACCAUUGAUUGGGAUGCCAUCAACUUGCCGACCCUACCCACGGCCGGCCUCGACAACCCCUUCACCGAGGAGGAGGUUUGA
rnacentral:rRNA from 1 species